rnacentral:rRNA from 1 species
GACUCUCGGCAACGGAUAUCUCGGCUCUCGCAUCGAUGAAGGACGUAGCGAAAUGCGAUACCUGGUGUGAAUUGCAGAAUCCUGUGAACCAUCGAGUCUUUGAGCGCAAGUUGCGCUCGAGGCCACUCGGCCGAGGGCACGCCUUCCUGGGCAUCA